UGCAAGUCGAGGGGUAAGGUCAGCUUGCUGAACACACGACCGGCGAACGGGUGAGUAUCGCGUUUGCAACCUACCCUUAACAGGAGGAUAGCUCCCGGAAACGGGAAUUAAUACUCCAUAACAUUCAGACAGGGCAUCCUGACUGAAUCAAAGCUCCGGCGGUUAAGGAUGGGCAUGCGUGACAUUAGCUUGUUGGUGAGGUAACGGCUCACCAAGGCAACGAUGUCUAGGGGGUCUGAGAGGAUGAUCCCCCACACUGGUACUGAGAUACGGACCAGACUCCUACGGGAGGCAGCAGUGAGGAAUAUUGGGCAAUGGACGCAAGUCUGACCCAGCCAUGCCGCGUGCAGGAUGACAGCCCUAUGGGUUGUAAACUGCUUUUGUACAGGAAGAAACAUCCCGACGUGUCGGGACUUGACCGUACUGUACGAAUAAGCAUCGGCUAACUCCGUGCCAGCAGCCGCGGUAAUACGGAGGAUGCAAGCGUUAUCCGGAUUCAUUGGGUUUAAAGGGUGUGUAGGCGGGAUAAUAAGUCAGCGGUGAAAUCUUUCGGCUCAACCGGAAAACUGCCAUUGAUACUGUUAUCCUUGAGUGUAGUUGAGGUGGGCGGAAUGUGUAAUGUAGCGGUGAAAUGCAUAGAGAUUACACAGAACACCAAUUGCGAAGGCAGCUCACUAAACUAAUACUGACGCUGAGGCACGAAAGCGUGGGGAGCAAACAGGAUUAGAUACCCUGGUAGUCCACGCUGUAAACUAUGAAUACUCGAUGUGUGCGACAUAUUGUACGCGUCUGAGCGAAAGCAUUAAGUAUUCCACCUGGGGAGUACGGUCGCAAGAUUGAAACUCAAAGGAAUUGACGGGGGCCCGCACAAGCGGAGGAACAUGUGGUUUAAUUCGAUGAUACGCGAGGAACCUUACCUGGGCUUAAAUGCAGGACGACGUUCCGGGAAACCGGGACUCCCUUCGGGGCGGACUGCAAGGUGCUGCAUGGCUGUCGUCAGCUCGUGCCGUGAGGUGUCGGGUUAAGUCCCAUAACGAGCGCAACCCCUAUCGUUAGUUGCCAGCGGGUAAUGCCGGGAACUCUAACGAAACUGCCAGUGUAAACUGUGAGGAAGGUGGGGAUGACGUCAAGUCAGCACGGCCCUUAUGUCCAGGGCUACACACGUGUUACAAUGGCCAGUACAAAGGGCUGCUACCAGGUGACUGGAUGCAAAUCUCUAAAACUGGUCUCAGUUCGGAUCGGAGUCUGCAACUCGACUUCGUGAAGAUGGAUUCGCUAGUAAUCGCGCAUCAGCCACGGCGCGGUGAUACGUUCCCGGGCAUUGUACACACCGCCCGUCAAGCCAUGGAAGCUGGGGGUACCUAAAGUCCGUAACC
rnacentral:rRNA from 1 species